AGCACUUGUGAUUGUUUUUAUCUAUCUUGUGAACGAACUUACAGAUAGGUGUAAAAGUAAAUUCUCUUUUGCAGCCCAAAACUCAUUGUCCAGUAUGAAUUUUGAUAUACAUAAGAAGGAAUAUC
rfam:Tupaia chinensis contig68932, whole genome shotgun sequence.